rnacentral:rRNA from 1 species
GACGAACGCUGGCGGCGUGCCUAAUACAUGCAAGUAGAACGCUGAAGGAGGAGCUUGCUUCUCUGGAUGAGUUGCGAACGGGUGAGUAACGCGUAGGUAACCUGCCUGGUAGCGGGGGAUAACUCUUGGAAACGAUAGCUAAUACCGCAUAAUAGUAGAUGUUGCAUGACAUUUGCUUAAAAGGUGCAAUUGCAUCACUACCAGAUGGACCUGCGUUGUAUUAGCUAGUUGGUGGGGUAACGGCUCACCAAGGCGACGAUACAUGGCCGACCUGAGAGGGUGAUCGGCCACACUGGGACUGAGACACGGCCCAGACUCCUACGGGAGGCAGCAGUAGGGAAUCUUUGGCAAUGGACGGAAGUCUGACCGAGCAACGCCGCGUGAGUGAAGAAGGUUUUCGGAUCGUAAAGCUCUGUUGUAAGAGAAGAACGAGUGUGAGAGUGGAAAGUUCACACUGGGACGGUAUCUUACCAGAAAGGGACGGCUAACUACGU